GCCAUGCCGCGUGCAGGAUGACGGUCCUAUGGAUUGUAAACUGCUUUUGUACGGGAAGAAACACUCCGACGUGUCGGAGCUUGACGGUACCGUAAGAAUAAGGAUCGGCUAACUCCGUGCCAGCAGCCGCGGUAAUACGGAGGAUCCAAGCGUUAUCCGGAAUCAUUGGGUUUAAAGGGUCCGUAGGCGGUCUGGUAAGUCAGUGGUGAAAGCCCAUCGCUCAACGGUGGAACGGCCAUUGAUACUGCUGGACUUGAAUUACUGGGAAGCAACUAGAAUAUGUAGUGUAGCGGUGAAAUGCUUAGAGAUUACAUGGAAUACCAAUUGCGAAGGCAGGUUGCUACCAGUGGAUUGACGCUGAUGGACGAAAGCGUGGGUAGCGAACAGGAUUAGAUACCCUGGUAGUCCACGCCGUAAACGAUGGAUACUAGCUGUUGGGAGCAAUCUCAGUGGCUAAGCGAAAGUGAUAAGUAUCCCACCUGGGGAGUACGUUCGCAAGAAUGAAACUCAAAGGAAUUGACGGGGGCCCGCACAAGCGGUGGAGCAUGUGGUUUAAUUCGAUGAUACGCGAGGAACCUUACCAAGGCUUAAAUGCAGACUGACCGAUUUGGAAACAGAUCUUUCGC
rnacentral:rRNA from 2 species